AGUGAACGCUGGCGGUAGGCCUAACACAUGCAAGUCGAACGGCAGCACAGUAAGAGCUUGCUCUUACGGGUGGCGAGUGGCGGACGGGUGAGGAAUACAUCGGAAUCUACUUUUUCGUGGGGGAUAACGUAGGGAAACUUACGCUAAUACCGCAUACGACCUACGGGUGAAAGCAGGGGAUCUUCGGACCUCGCGCGAUUGAAUGAGCCGAUGUCGGAUUAGCUAGUUGGCGGGGUAAAGGCCCACCAAGGCGACGAUCCGUAGCUGGUCUGAGAGGAUGAUCAGCCACAGUGGAACUGAGACACGGUCCAGAGGCCGACGGGAGGCAGCAGUGGGGAAUAUUGGACAAUGGGCGCAAGCCUGAUCCAGCCAUACCGCGUGGGUGAAGAAGGCCUUCGGGUUGUAAAGCCCUUUUGUUGGGAAAGAAAAGCAGCAGGUUAAUACCCCGCUGUUCUGACGGUACCCAAAGAAUAAGCACCGGCUAACUUCGU
rnacentral:rRNA from 1 species